rnacentral:rRNA from 1 species
UCCGGUGGGUGGUCUCUGGGGCCCAGAUCGUUUACCGUGAAAAAAUUAGAGUGUUCAAAGCAGGCAGAUUUUACCAUUCUGCCACCGAAUACAUUAGCAUGGGAUAAUGGAAUAGGACCCUGUCCUCCUAUUUUCCGCGUUGGUUUUUGAGGACCAGGGUAAUGAUUAAUAGGGAUAGUUGGGGGCAUUAAUAUUUAAUUGUCAGAGGUGAAAUUCUUGGAUUUAUGAAAGAUUAACUUCUGCGAAAGCAUCUGCCAAGGAUGUUUUCAUUAAUCAAGAACGAAAGUUAGGGGAUCGAAGACGAUCAGAUACCGUCGUAGUCUUAACCAUAAACGAUGCCGACCAGCGAUUAGGAGACGUUGAAUACAAAACACCACCAUCAGGCAGUGGGAUCGUGCUUCGCUUUUCCGGCAACGGGAAAGUGGAGGCGGUCUCAUUCCCCUGAUGGCCCGGUGAAUGACUCCCCUAGCAGCUUGUGAGAAAUCAUAA